AAACUUUCAACAACGGAUCUCUUGGUUCUGGCAUCGAUGAAGAACGCAGCGAAAUGCGAUAAGUAAUGUGAAUUGCAGAAUUCAGUGAAUCAUCGAAUCUUUGAACGCACAUUGCGCCCUCUGGUAUUCCGGAGGGCAUGCCUGUUCGAGCGUCAAAU
rnacentral:rRNA from 1 species